rnacentral:lncRNA from 1 species
CAAGUUGGUAGAUUCGAUGGUGGAAGAGAAUUUUUCUUACUUCCGUGAGUUUUUCACUGAGAGUAAAGGUGGUCUGGAGAGAAUGUGGAAUUUGAAAGAAGAACUAAAAUAUCCUUAAGGCAUGAAAGUUUAUCCUUUCACCAGAGACUACAAUUAAUAUUUCAAGGCUGAAUUAGAUCUGCUCACCUAAAAUGGAACAGAAGGCCGCAAGGAAAACAUUGUCAGGAGAAGGGUGAUCUCUGCACAAACUGGCUCCCCUUCGCCUUCCACCAAGAGUGGAAGCAGCCUGAGACACCCAGUCUUCUAACCAGCAGAUCAUGAGCCAAAUAAACCUUUUUUCUUGACAAA